rnacentral:rRNA from 1 species
UACAUAGGUGGCAAGCGUUGUCCGGAAUUAUUGGGCGUAAAGCGCGCGCAGGCGGUCCUUUAAGUCUGAUGUGAAAGCCCACGGCUCAACCGUGGAGGGUCAUUGGAAACUGGGGGACUUGAGUGCAGAAGAGGAAAGCGGAAUUCCACGUGUAGCGGUGAAAUGCGUAGAGAUGUGGAGGAACACCAGUGGCGAAGGCGGCUUUCUGGUCUGUAACUGACGCUGAGGCGCGAAAGCGUGGGGAGCAAACAGG